rnacentral:rRNA from 1 species
AUGCAAGUCGAGCGGGGGAAGGUAGCUUGCUACUGGACCUAGCGGCGGACGGGUGAGUAAUGCUUAGGAAUCUGCCUAUUAGUGGGGGACAACAUCUCGAAAGGGAUGCUAAUACCGCAUACGUCCUACGGGAGAAAGCAGGGGAUCUUCGGACCUUGCGCUAAUAGAUGAGCCUAAGUCGGAUUAGCUAGUUGGUGGGGUAAAGGCCUACCAAGGCGACGAUCUGUAGCGGGUCUGAGAGGAUGAUCCGCCACACUGGGACUGAGACACGGCCCAGACUCCUACGGGAGGCAGCAGUGGGGAAUAUUGGACAAUGGGCGCAAGCCUGAUCCAGCCAUGCCGCGUGUGUGAAGAAGGCCUUAUGGUUGUAAAGCACUUUAAGCGAGGAGGAGGCUACUUUAGAUAAUACCUAGAGAUAGUGGACGUUACUCGCAGAAUAAGCACCGGCUA